rnacentral:rRNA from 1 species
AUUGAACGCUGGCGGCAGGCCUAACACAUGCAAGUCGAGCGGAUGAAGGUAGCUUGCUAUCUGAUUCAGCGGCGGACGGGUGAGUAAUGCCUAGGAAUCUGCCUGGUAGUGGGGGACAACGUUUCGAAAGGAACGCUAAUACCGCAUACGUCCUACGGGAGAAAGUGGGGGAUCUUCGGACCUCACACUAUCAGAUGAGCCUAGGUACGAUUAGCUAGUUGGUGAGGUAAGGGCUCACCAAGGCGACGAUCGUUAACUGGUCUGAGAGGAUGAUCAGUCACACUGGAACUGAGACACGGUCCAGACUCCUACGGGAGGCAGCAGUGGGGAAUAUUGGACAAUGGGCGAAAGCCUGAUCCAGCCAUGCCGCGUGUGUGAAGAAGGUCUUCGGAUUGUAAAGCACUUUAAGUUGGGAGGAAGGGCAGUAAGUUAAUACCUUGCUGUUUUGACGUUACCAACAGAAUAAGCACCGGCUAACUUCGUGCCAGCCGCCGCGGUAAGAC